rnacentral:pre_miRNA from 1 species
CUGUCGGAGCCGAUGUUCUAGCUGGAAUGAAAAACGGCUGACGCUGGCACCGAGAGCC